rnacentral:rRNA from 1 species
UACGAAGGGGGCUAGCGUUGUUCGGAAUUACUGGGCGUAAAGCGCGCGCAGGCGGUCUUCCAAGUCAGUGGUGAAAGCCCGGAGCUCAACUCCGGAACUGCCAUUGAAACUGUUAGACUUGAGGAUGAGAGAGGUGAGUGGAAUUCCCAGUGUAGAGGUGAAAUUCGUAGAUAUUGGGAAGAACACCGGUGGCGAAGGCGGCUCACUGGCUCAUUACUGACGCUCAGGCGCGAUAGCGUGGGGAGCAAAAGGG